UACGUAGGGGGCAAGCGUUAUCCGAAUUUACUGGGUGUAAAGGGAGCGUAGACGGUUGUGCAAGUCUGAAGUGAAAGCCCGCGGCUCAACUGCGGAACGGCUUUGGAAACUGUGUAACUGGAGUGCUGGAGAGGUAAGCGGAAUUCCUGGUGUAGCGGUGAAAUGCGUAGAGAUCAGGAGGAACACCGGCGGCGAAGGCGGCUUACUGGACAGUAACUGACGUUGAGGCUCGAAAGCGUGGGGAGCAAACAGG
rnacentral:rRNA from 1 species